GUAGGUGAGGCUCCGGUUAUUGCCGGAUUCGAACCUAUGUUGCGUGAGGGGGGCUAAGUCGUAACAAGGUAUCCGUAGGUGAACCUGCA
rnacentral:rRNA from 1 species